rnacentral:rRNA from 1 species
AGUUUGAUCCUGGCUCAGAUUGAACGCUGUGGCGGAUGCUUUACACAUGCAAGUCGAACGGCAGCACGGACUUCGGUCUGGUGGCGAGUGGCGAACGGGUGAGUAAUGUAUCGGAACGUGCCUAGUAGCGGGGGAUAAUCACGCGAAAGCGUAGCUAAUACCGCAUACGCCCUUCGGGAAAGCGGGACCUUCGGCCUCGCACUAUUAGAGCGGCCGAUAUCGGAUUAGCUAGUUGGUGGGGUAACGGCUCAAGGCGACGAUCCGUAGCUGGUUUGAGAGGAAAUGACCAGCCACACUGGGACUGAGACACGACCCAGAUCACGGGAGGCAGCAGUGGGGAAUUUGGACAAUGGGGGAAACCCCUGAUCCAGCCAUCCCGCGUGUGCGAUGAAGGCCUUCGGGUUGUAAAGCACUUUGGCAGGAAGAAACGGCACGGAUAAUACCCUGUGCAACUGACGGUACCUGCAGAAUAAGCACCGGCUAACUACGUGCCAGCAGCCGCGGUAAUACGUAGGGUGCAAGCGUUAAUCGGAAUUACUGGGCGUAAAGCGUGGCGCAGGCGGUUCGGAAAGAAAGAUGUGAACUGCCUUUAACUGAAAACUGCACUUUGACCUACCGAGGCCAGAGGUACAGGAAAGUAACUGCAAAUGCGUAGCCAUGCGGAUGUAACGCCGAGCGUGAAGGCGCCUCUAGGGCAAAUACUUACGCCCCGCAAAACGAAAGCAAAGUUGGCUUAUAUUGCCUGUAUCCGCUGCCGCAACGAUAACACCAUGCUGUAGGCCUCGCCUGAAGCAUUAACGCAGAAGUUGUCUUCAGGGAAGUAUCGUAGCCGCAAGAUUGCCAAACCGUGGAAUUGACGGGGACUCCGCACAAGCGGUGGAUGAUGUGGAUUAAUUCGACGCAACGCGGAAAACCUUACCUACCCUUGACAUGUCUGGAAUCCUGAAGAGAUUUGGGAGUGCUCGCAAGAGAACUGGAACACAGGUGCCGUAUGGCUACGUCAGCUCGUGUCGUGAGAUGCUGGUUGGAGUCCCGCAACGAGCGGCAACCCUUGUCAUUAGUUGCUACGAAAGGGCACUCUAAUGAGACUGCCGGUGACAAACCGGAGGAAGGUGGGGAUGACGUCAAGUCCUCAUGGCCCUUAUGGGUAGGGCUUCACACGUCAGUACAAUGGUCGGGACAGAGGGUCGCCAACCCGCGAGGGGGAGCCGUCCCAGAAACCCGAUCGUAGUCCGGAUCGUGAAGCCUGCAACCGACUGCGUGAAGUCGGAAUCGCUAGUAAUCGUGAUCGCAUGUCGCGUGAAUACGUUCCCGGGCUCCGGUACGCCACCGCCCGUCACACCAUGGGAGUGGGUUUUACCAGAAGUAGUUAGCCUAACCGUGCGAGGGCGAUUACCACGGUAGGAUUCAUGACUGGGGUGAAGUCAUCGUUGCAG